rnacentral:lncRNA from 1 species
GGGCGUGUUUUAUUGGUCUCUUCUGUACAUCUCCAGAAUGUCUUCUGGUGAAGAGUUCAAAAAAAUGAAUCUGGACCUCUUCUGGAGAUAUUCUACGGAAGAUCAAUAAAAUAAAAAAAUUUAAUUGCCGUCGAAUACAGCAGGUUCUUGUUAUGUUGGAUGAAUUAAAUUAAGUUUACGAUUUUUUUAAGAAAAUUAAGAUACGUCCAGUAGACAUGACUGUAAAAUUGUGCUCUGUUCGUUACAAUUUUCUUUAUGCUUUUCUUCAAUUCAAUGUUGCUAAACAAAUCAGGCUUUAUCCCCC